rnacentral:rRNA from 1 species
ACGGGGGGUGCAAGCGUUACUCGGAAUCACUGGGCGUAAAGAGCAUGUAGGCGGAUUAAUAAGUUUGAAGUGAAAUCCUAUAGCUUAACUAUAGAACUGCUUUGAAAACUGUUAAUCUAGAAUGUGGGAGAGGUAGAUGGAAUUUCUGGUGUAGGGGUAAAAUCCGUAGAGAUCAGAAGGAAUACCGAUUGCGAAGGCGAUCUACUGGAACAUUAUUGACGCUGAGAUGCGAAAGCGUGGGGAGCAAACAG